GAAGCAACGGGAAGAACCUUACCAGGUCUUGACAUCCUGUGACAAUCCCAGAGAUAGGAGGUCCCCUUCGGGGGCAGAGUGACAGGUGGUGCAUGGUUGUUGUCAGCUCGUGUCGUGAGAUGUUGGGUUAAGUCCCGCAACGAGCGCAACCCUUGAUCUUAGUUGCCAGCAUUCAGUUGGGCACUUUAAGGUGACUGCCGGUGACAAACCGGAGGAAGGUGGGGAUGACGUCAAAUCAUCAUGCCCCUUAUGACCUGGGGUACACACGUGGUACAAUGGACAGAACAAAGGGCAGCGAAACCGCGAGGUUAAGCCAAUCCCACAAAUCUGUUUUCAGUUCGGAUUGCCGUUUGCAACUUGGAUGGGGGAAGGUGGGAUCGGUUGUUAUUGGGGAUUAGCAAGGCGCGGGGAAUACGUUCCCGGGC
rnacentral:rRNA from 1 species